rnacentral:ncRNA from 1 species
GGGCACUGAAGGUGCCAAGAUGGACACUACCCCCAAGGACAAAAGACUUAGUCCUAACCUUACUGUUAACUCUUGCUCAAUAUAUACAUGCAAGUAUCCGCACCCCAGUGCAAAUGCCCCAAACCCUUCACCAAGGUACAAGGAGCAGGCAUCAGGCACACACCCCUUGUAGCCCAAAACGCCUCGCUCUGCCACACCCCCACGGGUACUCAGCAGUAAUUAACAUUAAGCAAUAGGCGAAAGCCUGACCUAGUUAGAGCAACCAGGGUUGGUAAAUCAUGUGCCAGCCACCGCGGUCAUACAAGAAACCCAAGUUAACCGUACACGGCGUAAAGAGUGGACUCAAUCUGUCACACUAAGCUAGGACCAAAACCCUGCCUAAGCUGUCAUAAGCCCAGGGCACAUCAAAGCCCAACCUGAAAACGAUCUUAGCACUUACGACUCACCCUGCCCCACUAAAGCUAGGACACAAACUGGGAUUAGAUACCCCACUAUGCCCAGCCCUAAAUCUUGAUGCUUCCCAAACAUAAGCAUCCGCCCGAGAACUACGAGCACAAACGCUUAAAACUCUAAGGACUUGGCGGUGCUCUAACCCACCUAGAGGAGCCUGUUCUAUAAUCGAUAACCCACGAUUCACCCGACCACUUCUCGCCAAAACAGCCUAUAUACCGCCGUCGUCAGCCCACCUCCAUGAGAGCAUAACAGUGAGCUCAACAACCCACAAUCUCGCUAACAAGACAGGUCAAGGUAUAGCCCAUGAAGUGGAAGAAAUGGGCUACAUUUUCUAAAAUAGAAAAUCUUUUUAAACGGAAGGGGGCUUGAAAUCCGCCCCCAGAAGGUGGAUUUAGCAGUAAAGCAGAACAAUCUAGCCUUCUUUAAACUGGUUCUAGAGCACGUACACACCGCCCGUCACCCUCCUCACAAGCCCCAAACACAUUAACUAAUACAACAAAUUAGCCCAAGAUGAGGUAAGUCGUAACAAGGGUA